GAUGAACGCUAGCGGCAGGCCUAAUACAUGCAAGCUGAACGGUAAAUGUUAUAGCAAUAUAAUAUGAGAGUAGCGUAAGGGUGCGUAACACGUAUGCAAUCUACCCGCAACAGGAGGAUAGCUCCCCGAAAGGGGAAUUAAUACUCCAUAAGAUCACGAGAGGGCAUCUGAUUGUGAUUAAACUCCAAGGGGUUGCGGAUGAGCAUGCGUCUGAUUAGUUAGUUGGUGAGGUAACGGCUCACCAAGACGAUGAUCAGUAGGGGAACUGAGAGGUUGAUCCCCCACACUGGCACUGAGAUCCGGGCCAGACUCCUACGGGAGACAGCAGUAGGGAAUAUUGGUCAAUGGGUGAGAGACUGAACCAGCCAUUCCGCGUGCAGGAAGAAAGCCUUCUGGGUUGUAAACUGCUUUUGCCAGGGGAUAAAAUACCCAUGCGUGGGGAAUUGAAGGUACCUGGUGAAUAAGCCACGGCUAACUACGUGCCAGCAGCCGCAGUAAGAC
rnacentral:rRNA from 1 species